AUUGAACGCUGGCGGCAUGCCUUACACAUGCAAGUCGAACGGUAACAGGUCUUCGGAUGCUGACGAGUGGCGAACGGGUGAGUAAUACAUCGGAACGUGCCCGAUCAUGGGGGAUAACGGAGCGAAAGCUUUGCUAAUACCGCAUACGAUCUACGGAUGAAAGCAGGGGACCGCAAGGCCUUGCGCGGACGGAGCGGCCGAUGGCAGAUUAGGUAGUUGGUGGGAUAAAAGCUUACCAAGCCGACGAUCUGUAGCUGGUCUGAGAGGACGACCAGCCACACUGGGACUGAGACACGGACCAGACUCCUACGGGAGGCAGCAGUGGGGAAUUUUGGACAAUGGGCGAAAGCCUGAUCCAGCCAUGCCGCGUGCAGGAUGAAGGCCUUCGGGUUGUAAACUGCUUUUGUACGGAACGAAAAGACUCUUUCUAAUAAAGAGGGUCCAUGACGGUACCGUAAGAAUAAGCACCGGCUAACUACGUG
rnacentral:rRNA from 1 species